UGGGAAGACGAAAAGAAGAAGCUUUCGCCUGAACUAGUCUCUUUUCAAUUCUAUAAAUGUUGGUAGAACUGGUGUCAAGUUUCGCUUCCAUUCUUCUCGGCAACCACCGCGCCGCUUUUAGUGAAAAGCAUCACUUACCUGAUGGCCAUUGCGUGCGCAUUGUGAGAAACCAAAAUAUCAAUUCAGAAGAGUGCCCCCCCCCCCCC
ensembl:ncRNA W03G11.10 ncRNA